rnacentral:rRNA from 1 species
CCCAGACUCCUACGGGAGGCAGCAGUGGGGAAUAUUGGGCAAUGGGCGCAAGCCUGACCCAGCAACGCCGCGUGAAGGAAGAAGGCUUUCGGGUUGUAAACUUCUUUUCUCAGGGACGAAGAAAGUGACGGUACCUGAGGAAUAAGCCACGGCUAACUACGUGCCAGCAGCCGCGGUAAUACGUAGGCGGCAAGCGUUAUCCGGAUUUACUGGGUGUAAAGGGCGUGUAGGCGGGAAAGCAAGUCAGAUGUGAAAGCCACGGGCUCAACCUGUGGCCUGCAUUUGAAACUGUUUUUCUUGAGUGCUGGAGAGGGAGACGGAAUUCCUAGGGUAGCGGGGAAAUGCGUAGAUAUUAGGAGGAACGCCAGUGGCGAAGGCGGUCCGCUGGACAG